UAGAUACCCGGGUAGUCCACGCCGUAAACGAUGGAUACUAGCUGUUCGAUCUUCGGAUUGAGUGGCUAAGCGAAAGUGAUAAGUAUCCCACCUGGGGAGUACGUUCGCAAGAAUGAAACUCAAAGGAAUUGACGGGGGCCCGCACAAGCGGUGGAGCAUGUGGUUUAAUUCGAUGAUACGCGAGGAACCUUACCAGGGCUUAAAUGUAGUCUGACAGCUUUAGAGAUAGAGUUUUCUUCGGACAGAUUACAAGGUGCUGCAUGGCCGCCGUCAGAAG
rnacentral:rRNA from 1 species